AUGGCCAAGGGCGACAUCUCCCUCGCCGACGCCCUCGCCGAGGCUACUGCCGCUGAGGCCACCCGCCAAUCAGCAGCCCGGAUGCGACAAGCAAACACGACUGAACGGCCACUGACCAACGAAGUGACCCCAGCCCCAGCGACGCCCGGAGAAGCCAGCCACCGAGAAACAACCACACAUCAUGGAUUCAUUCAUGAUGAGAAAAGCUUCCAGCAGAAAGGUUUUAAUUCCCAGGUGUGCCUUGCUGUUCCUCAAAGAUGGUUCUGUUCAGUGUAUCCUGGCACAUACACUUUCAGUACCAAUAGUGUCGUCAAUAUCACCCAAGCAGAUUGGUUGCAAGGAAAUACUUACUACUGCCAGGUAACCCACGAAGCAUCCCAAACAAGGACGAAAAGCAGAACCAGGAAAUGUGAAGAUGCCACCAGUCAGUUCUACUCUGGGGUUGCCACCUACCUUCUGCCCCCUCAACCAAAAGAUCUGUACAUCAACAUAAAUGGCAGGAUUGCUUGUGUGGUUGUCAAUCUACAACAGGAAGAGGGGUUGAAAAUAAGCUGGUCACGCGAGAAGGAAGUCGCCACACAUCCAGAAUUGGUGGCAGUGACCGAGGAAAACAAUGGGACCUUCACUGCUGUCAGCCACCUCCCUGUGUCUGCCCAUGAUUGGGAAUCAGGAGAGACUUUCACCUGUUCGGUGGAAUAUCCAGGUUUGCCGGGUCCCAUUGUGAAGACAAUUUCCAAGAAGAGAGAAAAGAGCAACGCACCCGUCAUCCAUAUCUACCCUCCCAUCCCUGGCAAUUCGCUUAUCCUCACCUGCUUUAUUCGAGACUUUGUUCCAGAGGAUCUAGAUGUCCAGUGGCUAAAGGAUGGCAAUAGCAUUUCAGAAGAUGACUAUGUCAACACCCCAGCUGUGAAGGAAAAGACAGGCAAUUCCCACUUCAUGUAUAGCAAACUCGCAAUCUCUAAAUCAUCUUGGGAAAAUGGGGACACAUAUAGCUGUAUGGUCGUCCAUGAAGCCCUUGAAAUGAAGUUCACCCAGAAGAACAUACAGAAAACUUCAGGUAAACGUUGAAGACUCAAACAUGUGUUGUCCUCCUAGAUUUGUCUCUCACGGUGUUGGAUCCAAAUCCUUGUAAAUAGUUUACACACUUAUGUAUUUGGCUGCUGGCUAAAUAAAAGCAAACCAACUCACA